rnacentral:rRNA from 1 species
GGGAUUACCUCAGUAACGGCGAGUGAAGCGGUAACAGCUCAAAUUUGAAAUCUGGCUCCUGCGGAGUCCGAGUUGUAAUUUGUAGAAGAUGCUUUGGGAGGUAGGCUCGGCCUAAGUUCCUUGGAACAGGACAUCAGAGAGGGUGAGAAUCCCGUAUGUGGCCGUGGCCUACGCCCGUGUAAAGCUCUUUCGACGAGUCGAGUUGUUUGGGAAUGCAGCUCAAAAUGGGUGGUAAAUUUCAUCUAAAGCUAAAUAUUGGCCAGAGACCGAUAGCGCACAAGUAGAGUGAUCGAAAGAUGAAAAGCACUUUGGAAAGAGAGUUAAACAGUACGUGAAAUUGUUGAAAGGGAAGCGCUUGCACCCAGACUUGGGCGUCGUCGAUCAUCCGAGGUUCUCCUCGGUGCACUCGGCGAGGCACAGGCCAGCAUCGGUUUGGAUGGUUGGAGAAAGGCUCUAGGAACGUAGCUCUCUUCGGGGAGUGUUAUAGCCUAGGGCGUAAUGCAGCCCAUCUGGACCGAGGACCGCGCCUUCGGGCUAGGAUGCUGGCGUAAUGGUUGCAAGCGA